rnacentral:rRNA from 1 species
UCCGCCCGCUGGCGGCGUGCCUAAUACAUGCAAGUUGAGCGCUGAAGGUUGGUACUUGUACCACCUGGAUGAGCAGCGAACGGGUGAGUAACGCGUGGGGAAUCUGCCUUUGAGAGGGGGACAAAUAUUGGAAACGAAUGCUAAUACCGCAUAAAAACUUUAAACACAAGUUUUAAGUUUGAAAGAUGCACUUGCAUCAAUCAAAGAUGAUCCCGCGUUGUAUUAGCUAGUUGGUGAGGUAAAGGCUCACCAAGGCGAUGAUACAUAGCCGACCUUAGAGGGGGAUCGGCCACAGUGGGACUGAGACACGGCCCAAACUCCUACGGGAGGCAGCAGUAGGGAAUCUUCGGCAAUGGACGAAAGUCUGACCGAGCAACGCCGCGUGAGUGAAGAAGGGUUUCGGAUCGUAAAACUCCGUUGGUAGAGAAGAACGUUAGUGAGAGUGGAAAGCUCAUCAAGUGACGGUAACUACCCAGAAAGGGACGGCUAACUACGUG